rnacentral:rRNA from 1 species
GGACGAACGCUGGCGGCGUGCCUAAUACAUGCAAGUCGAACGGUCUUUCUAUGGAAGCUUGCUUCCACUGAAAAGAUAGUGGCGAACGGGUGAGUAACACGUGGGUAACCUGCCCAUAAGAGGGGGGAGUAACAUCCGGAAACGGGUGCUAAUACCGCAUAGUUUUCUUGAUCGCAUGAUCGGGAAAGGAAAGACGGCCUUUGUGCUGUCGCUUAUGGAUGGACCCGCGGCGUAUUAGUUAGUUGGUGAGGUAACGGCUCACCAAGACGAUGAUACGUAGCCGACCUGAGAGGGUGAUCGGCCACAUUGGGACUGAGACACGGCCCAAACUCCUACGGGAGGCAGCAGUAGGGAAUCUUCCGCAAUGGACGAAAGUCUGACGGAGCAACGCCGCGUGAGUGAAGAAAAGGGUUUUCGGAUCGUAAAACUCUGUUGUCAGAGAAGAACAAGUUGGAGAGUAACUGCUCCAGCCUUGACGGUAUCUGACCAGAAAGCCACGGCUAACUACGUGCCAGCAGCCGC